UGAAACUAGCUGGCAUCAGUGCUAUGCUUAGGGCACUGAGCUUCUGCCUUAUAUAACUUGGAAUAUUUCAUAUUCAAGGCAACAAGAAAGGUUACUAAAACACGGGGCAAGGUUUCAGUGGAUGAAUGGUUGCCAUUAUCACCAGGUAUGGGGGCACAAAAGCAUGAUUCCUUAAAGUACACAUUCCUAUUACUAUUCAGAAGAAGGCUUACUUGUUAAUGAAGAUCUGGGUUAGUUACCUAAACAAGUGGUGCAGCCCUUUGACUUCUUGUCCAGGAAUGGUUACUAUAAGUGACUGGGAUGACAUAAAGAACAGCUGCUGGAAAGAAUGUGGCCAUUGGUAAAUUCCCCAUGCCCAAGUGGAAGACCUCUAAGUCCAUGUGCAUAAAGACAGUACUAUUGGACUCAGAGGAACCCAUAAAUCUCAACAAUAGGAAGAUUAGAAAGAAAUUUAGAACAGAAUGCAAAGAUUUGAACAGAUAAAUUGUUUUAAGAAGACAUGUGGAUGACAGCUAAGUGGAUGGAAAGAUGUUGGACACCAUUUGCUCCUGGUAUAGACAGAUUAAAUCACCAUGGGAUAUGCGAGGUGUCUGCCAACGUAUUCCAACCCAAUGAUGAUUCCAAGUGUUGUCAGACAUAUGGAGAACCUGGGACCUCAGAUAUACUCCCCAGGAGAAAAAGUGGUGUAACUAUCUUGGAUAUAAUUUGCUAAAUUCUAUAAAACAUUAAGCUCUCUAUUAUAUGACUUGUUCAUGUCAUUCACAG